CCUACGGGUGACAGCAGUGAGGAAUAUUGGUCAAUGGCCGCAGGGCUGAACCAGCCAAGUCGCGUGAGGGAUGACGGUCCUAUGGAUUGUAAACCUCUUUUGUCAGGGAGCAAAGGGCGCCACGUGUGGCGCUUUGCGAGUACCUGAAGAAAAAGCAUCGGCUAAGUCCGUGCCAGCCGCCGCGGUAAUACGGAGGAUGCGAGCGUUAUCCGGAUUUAUUGGGUGUAAAGGGUGCGCAGGCGGAAUGUCAAGUCAGCGGUAAAAUUUCGGGGCUAAACCCCGUCGUGCCGUUGAAACUGGCGUUCUUGAGUGAGCGAGAAGUAUGCGGAAUGCGUGGUGUAGCGGGGAAAUGCAUAGAUAUCACGCAGAACUCCGAUUGCGAAGGCAGCAUACCGGCGCUCAACUGACGCUCAUGCACGAAAGCGUGGGUAUCGAACAGGAUUAGAUACCCUAGUAGUC
rnacentral:rRNA from 1 species